UACGGGGGGGGCAAGCGUUGUUCGGAUUUAUUGGGCGUAAAGAGCGUGUAGGCGGCCAGACAGGUCCGUUGUGAAAACUCGAGGCUCAACCUCGAGAUGUCGAUGGAAACCGUCUGGCUAGAGUCCGGAAGAGGAGUGUGGAAUUCCUGGUGUAGCGGUGAAAUGCGCAGAUAUCAGGAAGAACACCUAUGGCGAAGGCAGCACUCUGGGCAGUAACUGACGCUGAGGAGCGAAAGCGUGGGGAGCGAACAGG
rnacentral:rRNA from 1 species